rnacentral:rRNA from 1 species
UCAGAUUGAACGCUGGCGGCAUGCUUUACACAUGCAAGUCGAACGGCAGCACGAAAGAGCUUGCUCUUUUGGUGGCGAGUGGCGAACGGGUGAGUAAUACAUUGGAACGUACCGAGUAAUGGGGGAUAACUGUCCGAAAGGAUGGCUAAUACCGCAUACGCUCUGAGGAGGAAAGCGGGGGACCUUCGGGCCUCGCGUUAUUCGAGCGGCCAAUGUNUGAUUAGNUAGUUGGUGGGGUAAAGGCCUACCAAGGCGACGAUCAGUAGUGGGUCUGAGAGGAUGAUCCGCCACACUGGGACUGAGACACGGCCCAGACUCCUACGGGAGGCAGCAGUGGGGAAUUUUGGACAAUGGGCGAAAGC